AUAAUUACACGUGAGCUCUUGAUUUACAUCAUCUGCUUUCACAGUCCACUGCUCUGGUGAUUUGCUUCCUCCCAUGCUGAUUGCUUUGCAUAGGCCCCUCCAGACUGCUUCUCUGCUUUGAUAAAUGAGACCUUUUCCCACAGGAACUGAGCUGCUUCAGGUGGACUGGGAUAGCAAGAUGGCGGCACAGACCCGGGUCCUUGUGCUCCUGCUGCUUUGGGUGUCUGGUGCUUGCGGGGACAUUGUGGUUACUCAGUCUCCAAGUUCCUUGGCUGUGUCUGCAGGAGACAGGGUUACCAUCAACUGCAAGUCCAGCCAGAGUCUCUUGUGGAGCGAGGACAAUAAGAACUACUUGUCUUGGUAUCAGCAGAAACAGGGAGAGGCUCCCAAGCUGCUUGUGUAUUUGGCAUCCACCCGGGCAUCUGGAGUCUCUGAUCGAUUCAGUGGCAGUGGCUCUGGGACUGAUUUCACACUGACCAUCAGCAGUGUCCUGGCUGAAGAUAUGGCAGAUUAUUACUGUGCACAAAGUUAUAGUACACCUCCCACAGUACUUCUUCUUUGAACAAAAACCUCUCUCAGAGACUGUUCAGCUGCCUGGAAGCCAACCCAGCCCUGGACGUGCACACUUCCUCCAUCUGCCUGUGAGCGUGUGCCCUGACUUCUGGACAAGAAAGCUUGCAGAGCUCAACAGAAAACCAAGGGCACACACUUGUCUCUUAGGUCCUUUCACAUGGAAGUUUCCUAUAGGAAAACUCAGUAAGAAGUCUCUGCUUGGUUUGUGGACCAAUGUCCCUGUGACAUGAAGAGGAAAAAUGGGCAAAUAAGCAUUCUGGAAGCUAGAAAUCCAGCACAGGACUCAACAUGUUGGCAGACUGCAUUCUCAUUUGUAGCGUGUCAGAGAGAAUAUGUCCCUUGCCUUUUCUAGUUCCUUGAAGGUACACUUCCAUCUUUGACAGGCGUCCCUUCGCUUCCAUGUUCAGAGCAAGCACCCCAUCAGUUCUGACCCUUCUGGCGUCACACUCCCUCUGAUAGCUCUCUCUAUGCUUUCUAAAUGUGCACCAAGCAACCCCACUCUACAUUCACGGGUAGUAUGUAGGGAAGUGAUUUUGUG